AUCGAGCCCGCUUCAAGAUCCACCGAGGUGAAUUCCGCCAGGUCGGGAACGAAGCAACGGUAGCCCACGGAGUUAUGUGAAGUUGGGUUC
rnacentral:SRP_RNA from 1 species